rnacentral:rRNA from 1 species
CCCUAACACAUGCAAGCCGAACGGAGUUAUAUUGUAGCUUGCUACGGUAUAACUUAGUGGCAGACGGGUGAGUAAUGUAUAGGAAUCUACCUAGUAGUACGGAAUAAAUGUUGGAAACGGCAACUAAUACCGUAUACGCCCUACCGGGGGAAAAAUUUAUUGCUAUUAGAUGAGCCUAUAUUAGAUUAGCUAGUUGGUGGGGUAAUAGCCUACCAAGGUAAUGAUCUAUAGCUGAUCUGAGAGGAUGAUCAGCCACACUGGAACUGAGAUACGGUCCAGACUCCUACGGGAGGCAGCAGUGGGGAAUAUUGGACAAUGGGCGAAAGCCUGAUCCAGCCAUGCCGCAUGAGUGAAGAAGGCCUUUGGGUUGUAAAGCUCUUUUAGUGAGGAAGAUAAUGACGGUACUCACAGAAGAAGUCCUGGCUAACUCCGUGCCAGCAGCCGCGGUAAUACGGAGAGGGCUAGCGCUAUUCGGAGUUUUUGGGCGUAAAGGGCGCGUAGGCU